rnacentral:rRNA from 1 species
GUCUGGGAAACUGCCCGAUGGAGGGGGAUAACUACUGGAAACGGUAGCUAAUACCGCAUAACGUCGCAAGACCAAAGAGGGGGACCUUAGGGCCUCUUGCCAUCGGAUGUGCCCAGAUGGGAUUAGCUAGUAGGUGGGGUAAAGGCUCACCUAGGCGACGAUCCCUAGCUGGUCUGAGAGGAUGACCAGCCACACUGGAACUGAGACACGGUCCAGACUCCUACGGGAGGCAGCAGUGGGGAAUAUUGCACAAUGGGCGCAAGCCUGAUGCAGCCAUGCCGCGUGUAUGAAGAAGGCCUUCGGGUUGUAAAAUACUUUCAGCGGGGAGGAAGGGAGUAAAGUUAAUACCUUUGCUCAUUGACGUUACCCGCAGAAGAAGCACCGGCUAACUCCGUGCCAGCAGCCGCGGUAAUACGGAGGGUGCAAGCGUUAAUCGGAAUUACUGGGCGUAAAGCGCACGCAGGCGGUUUGUUAAGUCAGAUGUGAAAUCCCCGGGCUCAACCUGGGAACUGCAUCUGAUACUGGCAAGCUUGAGUCUCGUAGAGGGGGGUAGAAUUCCAGGUGUAGCGGUGAAAUGCGUA